rnacentral:rRNA from 1 species
AACGAACGCUGGCGGCAGGCUUAACACAUGCAAGUCGAACGCCCCGCAAGGGGAGUGGCAGACGGGUGAGUAACGCGUGGGAAUCUACCCAUCUCUGCGGAAUAGCUCCGGGAAACUGGAAUUAAUACCGCAUACGCCCUACGGGGGAAAGAUUUAUCGGGGAUGGAUGAGCCCGCGUUGGAUUAGCUGGUUGGUGGGGUAAAGGCCUACCAAGGCGACGAUCCAUAGCUGGUCUGAGAGGAUGAUCAGCCACAUUGGGACUGAGACACGGCCCAAACUCCUACGGGAGGCAGCAGUGGGGAAUAUUGGACAAUGGGCGCAAGCCUGAUCCAGCCAUGCCGCGUGAGUGAUGAAGGCCUUAGGGUUGUAAAGCUCUUUCACCGGUGAAGAUAAUGACGGUAACCGGAGAAGAAGCCCCGGCUAACUUCGUGCCAGCCGCCGCGGUAG